GAUGAACGCUGGCGGUAUGCUUAACACAUGCAAGUCGAACGGACUCUUCGGAGUUAGUGGCGGACGGGUGAGUAACGCGUGAGAAUCUGGCUUUGGGUUCGGGACAACCACUGGAAACGGUGGCUAAUACCGGAUGUGCCGAGAGGUAAAAGAGAAAUUGCCUGAAGAUGAGCUCGCGUCUGGUUAGCUAGUUGGUGAGGUAAAGGCUCACCAAGGCAGCGAUCAGUAGCUGGUCUGAGAGGAUGACCAGCAACACUGGGACUGAGACACGGCCCAGACGCCUACGGGAGGAAGCAGUGGGGAAGUAUCCGCAAUGGGCGAAAGCCUGACGGAGCAAUACCGCGUGAGGGAAGAAGGCUCUUGGGGUGUAAACCUCUUUUCUUAGGGAAGAACAAAAUGACGGUACCUAAGGAAUCAGCAUCGGCUAACUCCGUG
rnacentral:rRNA from 1 species